GAUGAACGCUGGCGGCGUGCCUAAUACAUGCAAGUCGAGCGAACGGACGAGAAGCUUGCUUCUCUGAUGUUAGCGGCGGACGGGUGAGUAACACGUGGAUAACCUACCUAUAAGACUGGGAUAACUUCGGGAAACCGGAGCUAAUACCGGAUAAUAUUUUGAACCGCAUGGUUCAAAAGUGAAAGACGGUCUUGCUGUCACUUAUAGAUGAAUCCGCGCUGCAUUAGCUAGUUGGCAAGGUAACGGCUUACCAAGGCAACGAUGCAUAGCCGACCUGAGAGGGUGAUCGGCCACACUGGAACUGAGACACGGUCCAGACUCCUACGGGAGGCAGCAGUAGGGAAUCUUCCGCAAUGGGCGAAAGCCUGACGGAGCAACGCCGCGUGAGUGAUGAAGGUCUUCGGAUCGUAAAACUCUGUUAUUAGGGAAGAACAUAUGUGUAAGUAACUGUGCACAUCUUGACGGUACCUAAUCAGAAAGCCACGGCUAACUACGU
rnacentral:rRNA from 1 species